UACGAAGGGGGCUAGCGUUGCUCGGAAUCACUGGGCGUAAAGCGCACGUAGGCGGAUUGCUAAGUCAGGGGUGAAUCCUGGAGCUCAACUCCAGAACUGCCUUUGAUACUGGCGACCUUGAGUCCGGGAGAGGUGAGUGGAACUGCGAGUGUAGAGGUGAAAUUCGUAGAUAUUCGCAAGAACACCAGUGGCGAAGGCGGCUCACUGGCCCGGUACUGACGCUGAGGUGCGAAAGCGUGGGGAGCAAACAGGGAUUAGCAAACCCUGUAACGU
rnacentral:rRNA from 1 species